AGUGAACGCUGGCGGUAGGCCUAACACAUGCAAGUCGAACGGCAGCACAGUAAGAGCUUGCUCUUACGGGUGGCGAGUGGCGGACGGGUGAGGAAUACAUCGGAAUCUACUUUUUCGUGGGGGAUAACGUAGGGAAACUUACGCUAAUACCGCAUACCACCUACGGGUGAAAGCAGGGGAUCUUCGGACCUUGUGCGAUUGAAUGAGCCGAUGUCGGAUUAGCUAGUUGGCGGGGUAAAGGCCCACCAAGGCGACGAUCCGUAGCUGGUCUGAGAGGAUGAUCAGCCACACUGGAACUUAGACACGGACCAGACUCCUAAGGGAGGCAGCAGUGGGGAAUAUUGGACAAUGGGCGGAAGCCUGAUCCAGCCGGACCGCGUGGGUGAAGAAGGCCUUCGGGUUGUAAAGCCCUUUUGUUGGGAAAGAAAAGCAGCAGGUUAAUACCCCGCUGUUCUGACGGUACCCAAAGAAUAAGCACCGGCUAACUUCGUG
rnacentral:rRNA from 1 species